GACGAACGCUGGCGGCGUGCUUAACACAUGCAAGUCGAACGAUGAAGCCGGAGCUUGCUCCGGUGGAUUAGUGGCGAACGGGUGAGUAACACGUGAGCAAUCUGCCCUUGACUCUGGGAUAACUGCGGGAAACUGUAGCUAAUACCGGAUACGACACCUUGGGGCAUCCCAGGGUGUGGAAAGAAUUUCGGUCAAGGAUGAGCUCGCGGGCUAUCAGCUAGUUGGUGAGGUAAUGGCUCACCAAGGCGACGACGGGUAGCCGGCCUGAGAGGGUGACCGGCCACACUGGAACUGGGACACGGUCCAGACUCCUACGGGAGGCAGAAGUGGGGAAUAUUGCACAAUGGGCGAAAGCCUGAUGCAGCAACGCCGCGUGAGGGAUGAAGGCCUUCGGGUUGUAAACCUCUUUUAGCAGGGAAGAAGCGAAAGUGACGGUACCUGCAGAAAAAGCACCGGCUAACUACGUGCCAGCCGCCGCCGUAA
rnacentral:rRNA from 1 species